GGCAGGCAUGUGGGCAGUCGCUCAGGCAGGGGAGGGAGAAAUGUAGGCCAUGUCAGCAGACACAACAGAUGUCACGCACAGAUUACCUGCCAGGUCAACUUUUGGGAAGUUUUGCUGUGGGACAAAUGCGGCAGCCAGCCAGCCAGCCAGCUCUGUGAUGUGACGCGAACACAAGGGAGGUCAGGGCCAUGUGGAGUUAGCAGUGUGCCCCUGCAGUCCUGCUUAGAGGGGGUCCAGUGGCUGAUGACAUCCAUUUUCAAACAUGGGGGAGGAAGAACCUUCCCAGAACCACAGCUCCCAUCAAUUAACAGAUUCCAGCCUGCAACAGAACUCACGCUCCCUCUCCCCCUCUCUCCCUCUCCC